rnacentral:tRNA from 1 species
UGGCUAAGUGGUGGAAUGGUAUACACGAUACGCUUAGAACGUAUUGCCCCAAGGGAUUGUGAGUUCGAGUCUCACCUUAGCUACCAU